UAGGGAAUCUUCCACAAUGGACGCAAGUCUGAUGGAGCAACGCCGCGUGAGUGAAGAAGGUUUUCUGAUCGUAAAGCUCUGUUGUUGGUGAAGAAGGAUAGAGGCAGUAACUGGUCUUUAUUUGACGGUAAUCAACCAGAAAGUCACGGCUAACUACGUGCCAGCAGCCGCGGUAAUACGUAGGUGGCAAGCGUUGUCCGGAUUUAUUGGGCGUAAAGCGAGCGCAGGCGGAAUGAUAAGUCUGAUGUGAAAGCCCACGGCUCAACCGUGGAACUGCAUCGGAAACUGUCAUUCUUGAGUGCAGAAGAGGAGAGUGGAAUUCCAUGUGUAGCGGUGGAAUGCGUAGAUAUAUGGAAGAACACCAGUGGCGAAGGCGGCUCUCUGGUCUGCAACUGACGCUGAGGCUCGAAAGCAUGGGUAGCGAACAGG
rnacentral:rRNA from 1 species